rnacentral:rRNA from 1 species
GCAGUUUACGCGUAUCUCUGGAGUGACGGGUACACUGUGGGGACCGCCGCUGCUAAAGCGGAGGAAGGAAUGGGCAACGGUAGGUCAGUAUGCCCCGAAUGUCCCGGGCUACACGCGGGCUACAAUGGUUGGUACAAUGGGUAUCUACCCCGAAAGGGGAUGGAAAUCUCCUAAAGCCAAUCUUAGUUCGGAUCGAGGGCUGCAACUCGCCCUCGUGAAGCUGGAAUCCGUAGUAAUCGCGUUUCAAUAUAACGCGGUGAAUACGUCCCUGCUCCUUGCACAAAA